rnacentral:rRNA from 1 species
CGUCUAUAUACGUAUAGCAUAUCAAUAAGCGGAGGAAAAGAAACUAACAAGGAUUCCCUUAGUAACGGCGAGUGAAGCGGGAAGAGCUCAAAUUUGAAAUCUUCAAGGUUCUACCUUGACGAAUUGUAGUUUAAAGAAGUGUUUUCUGUUAGAUGAGUAGCAAAAGUUCCUUGGAAUGGGACAUCAUAGAGGGUGAGAAUCCCGUACUUGGUUAUUCAUUCUAGCUGUGUGAUACACUUUCAAAGAGUCGGAUUGUUUGGGAAUGCAGUCCAAAAUGGGUGGUAAAUUUCAUCUAAAGCUAAAUAUUGGCGAGAGACCGAUAGCGAACAAGUACCGUGAGGGAAAGAUGAAAAGAACUUUGAAAAGAGAGUUAAACAGUACGUGAAAUUGUCAAAAGGGAAGCGUUUGACACCAUGUGUUGUUUUUCCGAAAAUCAAUUACGAAUGUUUUGUUUUUAAGGAGUUAUGACUUCAUCGGCUUGCUCCUUUCUUUACGAAACUUUCUUAAUGCACUUUUCGGUUAACAAGUCAACAUCAAUUUCUUUUGUUGUAAAAGAGGUAUGCGGAAGGUGGCUUUCUUUUCGGAGAAAGUGUUUAUAGCCCUAGUGACUUCUACAAUCGGAGAGAUUGAGGUCUGCAGCGUAGAUCCUUCGGGGUUAGAUACACUUGUGCUAAGUUGUAGCUUUUCAUAGACAACUUGUUGACUAUGAUCAGUCAUGUAGGCUUACUCGCUUAGUGCUAUUUUACCUACGCUUAGGAUGUUGACUGAUAUGUAGUCGUA